rfam:Orientia tsutsugamushi str. TT76 ut76.contig.39_1, whole genome shotgun sequence.
AAAGUCCAGUUAUGGAAGGAAAAGCUGGCACACCAUAUAGCGAGUCUUAUGCUGCUAAAGGUAACAACAGUAGUAAAGCGUAGACAGUGAAACAUUCUAGCCGAAACCAAAUGAUGAACGUGAUAGCCAGGAAAAUGAUGUAGUGGAAGCCGAUAUGCCUACUACGUAGUAGGCAAAAGAAGAUUGGAGAUCAAACUAGUGAAAAUUCAAAAAUUUUCAACCACUGGAGUC